rnacentral:lncRNA from 1 species
UAUCUCGCCCUGGGCCAGACUCCAGACACGUGUCAGAAGGGACUGCCUUUCUCUCUGAUGGAACCUCUAACAGAAGCUGGAACAUCAGGGGUGGAAACUGAUGCAACUCUCCCAGCAGACUCUUGAUAAAACAAUGACCACAGAACACUCCUGUAACUCUUCAGACCGUGUUUACAGCCAAGACGGUGAGAUAAAGAACACUGCUUGCAGCUUCUACCUUUUAAAGUGAUUUUAAACCCUACCACUGUUACUAAUCCUUGCAUGUUUCCAGUCCUGCAAGUUUCCAAGCAGCGAAUUUCAUCAGUGCAGAGCACUUAGCGCGUAAGUCAGGUCACAGCACCUGCCUUUUCAUGCUGUACCCACGGGCACUGCAAUCCCUGGGAAGGUGCACUUUAGUUUCUUAUUUGCUUUCAGGGGUGAUUUCAGUAAUGAGCAAAGUUGCAUCAUUCUUUUUCAUGUGAGGAGACAUGUAAUAACUCGUUAACACUUUUAUCAAUUCCAGUGUCUAAGUAGGUACAGGCAAAAUAGUCAGUCAGUGUUUUUUCUACAAUGUCCCAGUCCUCUUAUAAAAGUUUUUCAAGCCAAGCAGAACAGUUUGUUACCUAAAAGCUGACCUUGAAAAAACAGAUCACUGCAUACAAGUAGCAAGGUUUAAAAAAGGGGGGUGAAGAAACAGAUUUUUUGUUCUAAGAACAAUGAUUUACAUUAGGAAGCAAUUAAACAUAUUAUUCCAAUCACCCCUAUUCUUUAAGUUUGAAACAGUCUGGAGUUUAAAAGUCUCGGAAGAUAUCAUCAAAAUAAGGACUACUGUGUCUUUCUGACUUUUCUUACACCUCUAAGGCUGCCAUUUAAGGCAGUAACUGUGUGUUAGAUGUUGACCAAAUACAGCAUAAAUACCUUGACUGAGAUGAU